GUCCCCAUCCCUUGCACUGACUGCAACACCUGCCUGUUUAACCAGGGAGAGGGGCAGAGCAGAAUUCCCACCCUUGGAGCAGAGACACUCCCGGUCCCAGCCAUCCCUCCGGUUGCCAUGGAAACCACCUUGCACGGAAAGGACAGUGCUGAACGUUCCCUUGAAGUGAGGCACUGCAGUGAGCUGGGCUCGUCUGGGCAGGUUCUGCUGGGCUGUCCUUCCACCGGGGCUGUCAUUGCUCUAUCUGUGCCCUUCACCACCCUCCAGGCACCUCUGGCAUCCUGCAGGGAGAGAAUCAUCCCCCCACACAUGUUGGCACCCGAGCUGACGUUCCCCAAAUGUGCCACCACCACAGCAGUGUCCAUGGGAAGCACCUGCACCUCUCCCAGGUUAUUUUCCACAGGAAAAUAACUCCAGGCUGCAGGGUUUAGAGCAAAUAUCAUCAUCUGUUUUAUUUUAAACCUCGCCUUUGCUUUCUCGGUGCUUAUAUUGAGAUUCAUAAAAAUGCCACCUUAAA